UACGUAGGGGGCAAGCGUUAUCCGGAUUUACUGGGUGUAAAGGGAGCGUAGACGGUGAUGCAAGUCUGAUGUGAAAACCCGGGGCUCAACCCCGGAACUGCAUUGGAAACUGUGUGACUAGAGUGUCGGAGAGGUAAGUGGAAUUCCUAGUGUAGCGGUGAAAUGCGUAGAUAUUAGGAGGAACACCAGUGGCGAAGGCGGCUUACUGGACGAUGACUGACGUUGAGGCUCGAAAGCGUGGGGAGCAAACAGG
rnacentral:rRNA from 1 species